AUAACCUGUGUGACUCUGAUAGGACAAUGUGAAGAAGUGAUUUCCUCUAAUAUUAGUCAGUGUAUUAGUUUCAGUUUACAAAGUACUGAAUAAAACUAACGACUAUAAAACCAUGGAAACAGUUCUAUCUUUAAGAAAUAAAGACAGUGUGAGCCCCCCACUCAGAGGAUUACAAUCAGCACUGUGAUGAGGGGGUCAGUUGUGGUCCCUCUCCGUUGCUUUUCCUUCUGCCUUCUACCAAAAGCUGUCUCAUCAACAAAGCCCUGGAAGAUUCCAAAUCCUCAGUUUUGGAGUUCCCAUACCCCGAAGUGGCCUUCAGACUCACUUCCUGGAAGACAGAUGACACUUGAAUCAUGGGAACUGAUUUACUUGCUUUAAGAACUCCAAACACCUGGUUGUGAAAUGUGCCCCUUUCAAAACUGCCCUGCACUCGCAGAUUAUUUAAUACAAUCCAUGGACUGAUAGGAGUAGUUUUAUGGGAACUGUUGGAUGGCAAUGAAAUGUCUCAGAUUGCUACUUUUAAAGAGUUCUCUCCUGCGUCAAUGGCAAGAGUCGUUUUCCAAACCUGUAUCAUUUCCUUAGUGAGUCAGCCUCACAAACCUUAUAUUGCCGUCAUUGUUUGUACUACAAAAAUAACGAAUCCCUAAAGUGAGAAGAAAAGCCACAUACGAUCCCUAUAAAAUUCCAACUGAAGAAGUCAUUCAAAGUGCUUUGCUUGUGAAGGAUUGCUUAAAGUCACCUACAACCAGCACUGCGCAAAAGUGUAGAACACAUGGAAUCAGAGAGGGGCAAUCCUGAAACCCAGGAAAAUAUAGAUACACUGGGAAAAUAGAUUCAGGUAGGUAAGAAAGAGAAUACACUUGAACCCAAUGAAGGAAGAUAUAUAAGAAUUUGGAGUGUUGUGUUUCUCUAACUGUGUGGCAUUAUUUAACAAUCUGGAAACAGUUUUCUUUUUUCCCUUGUGAUGGUUUGUGUGUCAACAGGCACUGUUCGGCCUUCUCCACAGGCUUGAUGCUGAAUUGGUGCUCAGAUUACAAACCUCACGCACAAACCAUUUCUUUCCUUAGCAAUUGCUCAUCUGGUGGCCUAAUAAAAAGCUUUUAGUAGCUGCAAAAAAAAUAGAAAAAAAACCCUGUUUACUUAUUUUCAAUUUACAGCUAUUUUAGACUUUAACAAAAUAUCUGUAGCAGCAUCGUUCAAUAAGUAGAAAAAGAAAUGUGUUAGCGAUGAAAUCUCCCAACUGCCCUGUGAUUCCUCUUUCCUGUCACUAGACCAUGAUGUGGAGCAAAGGAAGAUGAUUUAAAGGAUAGGAACAGUGGCCAGCUCUUCCAGGAGGCUGGCUGUUCAUCUACCUGGGAUAGAACGAACAGCCACCAAAUUUUCCUGAGCUAAAAAUCAACUGAUAGUUCUGAUCAACUCCUGAAAUCCCUGAAAUGGCAGAGGAGGGAAAUCAAGAAGAUUGGCAUUGAGUUCAUGAAUCACAGUCAUAGCUCCAACGACAGUAACAGUUUCUAUUUCCUAUGUUCUAGCCACUAAGCUGAGCACUGUGUGAAACACACACACGUGCAUGCAUGUGUGCACACACACAUACACACACACAUAUACCAUUUUUUAUGGAAAACGAAGCUUAAUAAAGUUAACCAAAUUGACAGAGAUAAUAAAUCAAGGAGUCAACAGAAGAAGCCUGUCUCCCCUUCUUAAUUUCAAUAUUCUGUCCUUAAUGUUCAAUCUUAAUGCUCAGUGUCACUUCCCUAUCUGCAAAGAAGAUAGACAGAUGAUGUCAAAAUUCAAGAAAAUCUCCUUCAAACUUUGGAGAUCACAUCAAAUCUCAGAGCAAGAUGAAUGCUGGUGUUCUGUGCUCUCUCUCUCUCUCUCUCUCUCUCUCUCUCUCUCUCUCUCUCUCUGUCAUUUCUAUUCAGAGAGACCAGGGACCAUGGGAUGGUACUGCUCACAUUCAGAAACGAUUAUCAUAUUCAGGAAAACCUGUCUAGAAAUAUCCACACAAAUGUGCUGGAAGAUACAUAUCCUAUAUGAUUUCAAUUCUAGAAUGUUGACAAUGAAAGUUAAUCAUAAUAAAAACAACUGACAAAAACAAGAAAUUAUAAUUCUUAAUAUCU